CAGCAGCCGCGGGAAUACGUAGGUCCCGAGCGUUGUCCGGAUUUAUUGGGCGUAAAGCGAGCGCAGGCGGUUAGAUAAGUCUGAAGUUAAAGGCUGUGGCUUAACCAUAGUACGCUUUGGAAACUGUUUAACUUGAGUGCAAGAGGGGAGAGUGGAAUUCCAUGUGUAGCGGUGAAAUGCGUAGAUAUAUGGAGGAACACCGGUGGCGAAAGCGGCUCUCUGGCUUGUAACUGACGCUGAGGCUCGAAAGCGUGGGGAGCAAACAGGAUUAGAUACCCCCGUAGUCCCUGUCUCUUAUACA
rnacentral:rRNA from 1 species